rnacentral:rRNA from 1 species
GGGAUUGCCUUAGUAGCGGCGAGUGAAGCGGCAAAAGCUCAAAUUUGAAAUCUGGCGCCUUCGGUGUCCGAGUUGUAAUUUGAAGAUUGUAACCUUGGGGUUGGCUCUUGUCUAUGUUUCUUGGAACAGGACGUCACAGAGGGUGAGAAUCCCGUGCGAUGAGAUGCCCAAUUCUAUGUAAGGUGCUUUCGAAGAGUCGAGUUGUUUGGGAAUGCAGCUCUAAGUGGGUGGUAAAUUCCAUCUAAAGCUAAAUAUUGGCGAGAGACCGAUAGCGAACAAGUACAGUGAUGGAAAGAUGAAAAGAACUUUGAAAAGAGAGUGAAAAAGUACGUGAAAUUGUUGAAAGGGAAGGGUUUGAGAUCAGACUCGAUAUUUUGUGAGCCUUGCCUUCGUGGCGGGGUGACCCGCAGCUUAUCGGGCCAGCAUCGGUUUGGGCGGUAGGAUAAUGGCGUAGGAAUGUGACUUUACUUCGGUGAAGUGUUAUAGCCUGCGUUGAUGCUGCCUGCCUAGACCGAGGACUGCGAUUUUAUCAAGGAUGCUGGCAUAAUGAUCCCAAACCGCCCGUCUUGAAACACGGA